UAGUCGGGACCUAAGCUGAGGCCGAAAGGCGUAGGUGAUGGACAACAGGUUGAUAUUCCUGUACUACCGAUAACCGUUUGAGAGAAGGGAUGACACAGUAGGAUAAGCUAAGCACACUGUUGGUUAUGUGUGCCCAAGCAUUGAGGCAGUCAAAGUAGGCAAAUCCGCUUUGAUAAUGCUGGGAUGUGAUGGGGAGCGAAAUUUAGUAGCGAAGUAGCUGAUUUCACACUGUCAAGAAAAGUCUCUAUCGAGGUUAAAGGUACCCGUACCG
rnacentral:rRNA from 1 species